rnacentral:rRNA from 1 species
AUCGUUUGGAUGUCUGAAGGUACAAGGUACCAAUCAACAGUUGCUGAGUGGGCCAAACUGAUCAAUGCCCCUGCAGAGCAUGAGGAUGAUAUAGAUGUCUAUGUCAAGAAGAAGAAAGAUCACAACUCCAUGGCCAACAUGUAUAAGGAGAUUCCUGACAAAGCCUUGGAUAAUCAUAAGCUAGGCUCUGUAUAUUAUCUGGUAUCUGGACUGGCCACCAUCAACACCAUCUUGAAGCACACCAUGUUGCCCAAAUCAGGAUAUCACAGGAUGAUCAGAGGCCAUUCCAUCAAUUUUUUGCAGUUGUUUGAUGUGCCCCAGAAGUUCAAAGUGAUGAGUUUGAUUGUUGAGACAAUCAAGAGGACAACUGCAGACCAGAAAAGAUCAUGUGGGUAUGCUCCACACAUCCAAAUGCUCAUCAACUUUAAGAUGGGCACAGGCACAUACCUAUUGGACAAGGAACAUCUUCCCUUGAGGCCUGACUUUGAAGACAACAUAGUUGUCAUGAAUGAAGAAGAUCCCACAUCUGUAGAGGCUCAAGAGAAGAGGGAGAAAGCAAAAGCUAAGAAGGCAGCAAAGAUGCCAAGUGUUGAAGAGGCUUCUCAAGUGUUCCUCAAGUUAAAGCAAGAUCAACUUGGAUAUCUUAUUCAAGCCACCUUGAGGAUUGAGAAAGCAUUGGUCACCCUAACUCGGAACCAAGAGAGCCUGGAGAGGAUCAUUGAAACAAAAUUCUAUGAUCUUGACUUGAAGGUG